GAGGAUUUAGCUCAGUGGUAGAGCGCUUGCCUAGCAAGCACAAGGCACUGGGUUCAGUCCUCA
rfam:Rattus norvegicus chromosome 10, whole genome shotgun sequence.